CCUACGGGAGGCAGCAGUGAGGAAUAUUGGUCAAUGGACGAGAGUCUGAACCAGCCAAGUCGCGUGAAGGAUGACUGCCCUAUGGGUUGUAAACUUCUUUUAUAUGGGAAUAAAGUGUUCCACGUGUGGGAUUUUGUAUGUACCAUAUGAAUAAGGAUCGGCUAACUCCGUGCCAGCAGCCGCGGUAAUACGGAGGAUCCGAGCGUUAUCCGGAUUUAUUGGGUUUAAAGGGUGCGGAGGUGGAUUGUUAAGUCAGUUGUGAAAUUUUGGGGCUCAACCGGAAAAUUGCAGUUGAAACUGGCAGUCUUGAGUACAGGAGAGGUGUGCGGAAUGCGUGGUGUAGCGGUGAAAUGCUUAGAUAUCACGAAGAACUCCGAUUGCGAAGGCAGCUCACUGGAGUGCAACUGACACUGAGGCUCGAAAGUGUGGGUAUCAAACAGGAUUAGAUACCCCUGUAGUC
rnacentral:rRNA from 1 species